rnacentral:rRNA from 1 species
GACGAACGCUGGCGGCGUGCUUAACACAUGCAAGUCGAACGGAAAGGCCCUGCUUUUGUGGGGUGCUCGAGUGGCGAACGGGUGAGUAACACGUGAGUAACCUGCCCUUGACUUUGGGAUAACUUCAGGAAACUGGGGCGAAUACCGGAUAGGAGCUCCUGCGGCAUGGUGGGGGUUGGAAAGUUUCGGCGGUUGGGGAUGGACUCGCGGCGUUUCAGCUUGUUGGUGGGGUAGUGGCUUACCAAGGCUUCGACGGGUGGCGGGCCUGAGAGGGUGAACGGCCACAUUGGGACUGAGAUACGGCCCAGACUCCUACGGGAGGCAGCAGUGGGGAAUAUUGCACAAUGGGCGGAAGCAUGAUGCAGGAACGCCGCGUGCGGGAUGACGGCCUUCGGGUUGUAAACCGCUUUCGCCUGUGACGAAGCGUGAGUGACGGUAAUGGGUAAAGAAGCACCGGCUAACUACGU